AUUGAACGCUGGCGGCAGGCCUAACACAUGCAAGUCGAACGAGUGGCGGACGGGUGAGUAAUGUCUGGGAAACUGACCGAGGGAUGGGGAUAACUACUGGAAACGGUAGCUAAUACCGCAUACCAUCGGGUGAGCCCAGAUGGGAUUAGCUAGUAGGUGGGGUAAAGGCUCACCUAGGCGACGAUCCCUAGCUGGUCUGCGAGGAUGACCAGCCACCCUGGACAUGAGAUCCGGUCCAGAAGCCUACGUGAGGCAGCAGUGGGGAAUAUUGCACAAUUGGCGCAAGCCUGAUGCAGCCAUGCCGCGUGUAUGAAGAAGGCCUUCGGGUUGUAAAGUACUUUCAGCGAGGAGGCGUUACUCGCAGAAGAAGCACCGGCUAACUCCGUGCCAGCAGCCGCGGUAAUUC
rnacentral:rRNA from 1 species